rnacentral:misc_RNA from 1 species
GGGAAGUGUAUGUACUAAAUGACGGAGGAGAAGUGGAUUUAGACCUCGGCAACUAUGAAAGAUUUCUGAACAUUACCUUGCAUAAGGAUAACAAUAUUACUACCGGCAAAAUUUACCAAUCUGUUAUUUCUAAAGAAAGACAUGGCGAUUAUUUGGGAAAAACAGUUCAAGUUGUUCCACAUAUUACCGAUGCGAUUCAAGAAUGGGUAGAAAGAGAAGCAAACAAGCCGGUAUCACAAAGUGGUAAACUUCCGGAAGUGUGCAUCAUAGAACUCGGAGGAGUUAUCGGAGAUAUUGAAAGUAUGGCUUUUGUGGAAGCCUUUAGGCAGUUUCAGUUUAGAGUUAAAAGGGAAAAUUUCUGUGUGGCCCAUGUUUCCUUGGUUCCACAGCCAAAAACUACUGGGGAAUCAAAAACAAAACCAACACAAUCAUCCGUUAGGGAACUUAGGGGAUUGGGUCUUUCGCCAGAUAUAAUUGUUUGCAGGUCAGAAAGGCCAAUUGAGGACGGAGUCAAAGAAAAAAUAUCUAAUUUCUGUCAUGUUGCUCCUGAGCAGAUAAUUAGUGUUCCGGAUCUGCCGUCUGUUUAUGAGGUUCCAGUUUUUAUAGAAAAUCAUGGUAUGGCUGAGUUCUUGAGCAAUAGAUUACAUCUUGGUAUUUGUCCACUUCCUCCGAGGAGGAAAUAUAUGGCAGAAUGGUGUGAGUUAGGAGAACGGAUAAGGCAUCUUAAAUAUGAUGUGAUUGUUGCCAUUGUAGGCAAAUAUACAAGAUUAGAAGACUCUUAUACAUCAAUUACCAAAGCUCUUCAUCACGCAGGAAACAAAAUUGGUUACAAAGUUAUUAUCAAAUUUAUCGAAGCGUCUAAUUUAGAAAAGACGAUGCUGACCGACGAUCCUACGGCUUAUCAUACUGCUUGGAGAGAGCUCUGCCUUUGCGAUUGCGUGGUGGUGCCAGGCGGCUUUGGUAAACGCGGAGUUGAGGGCAAAAUCGAAGCUGUGAGAUGGUGCAGACUCAAAGAAAAACCAUUCUUAGGGAUUUGCUUAGGAUUCCAGACUGCCGUUAUCGAAUUCGCACGAAGCGAAUUGGGUUUAAAAGAUGCACAUUCAACAGAGGUUAAUGAAGAGACUAAAAAUCCAGUUGUAAUAGACAUGCCUGAGCAUAAUACGGGGAUUAUGGGAGGUACCAUGAGGCUGGGAAAAAGAACAACUGUUUUUAAGCCAACCAGCACCAACAGUAAAAUCCGAAAGCUAUAUGGAAGCAAAGGUGCGAUCGAAGAGCGCCAUAGGCACAGGUUUGAGGUGAAUCCUGAAUAUAUACCGAAUUUAGAGAAGCACGGGUUGAAGUUUGUUGGUGUAGACAUAGAUGAGCAACGCAUGGAAAUACUGGAAUUAGAUAAUCACCCUUAUUUUGUAGCGGUGCAAUUUCACCCUGAAUAUCUUUCCAGACCUGUUAAACCCUCUCCUCCGUUCAUUGGUUUGAUUUUAGCGGCAAAGGAUAGGCUGAAAGCGUAUUUGUCUAGAGGGUGCAAAUUAAGCCCACGAGAACCGCAAAGCGAUUAUUAUGAUUCAGAUGACGCACAAGAUUCUAACGAAUUGACAGUAAAGAAGCUACACAAUGAAAAUGAACACGAUGACGACAACAGCAGUGCUUAUAGCAGUUCUAGUCAAUGCUAAGUUGGUUAGUUGUGAUCGGGGUUUGCUUUUUUCUAUGCAACAAUAUAUCCAGUUGUACCUACUAUAACUAUUAUCAGGAACAGGACACGGCAGUAGCAGCAAAGUACUUCCAAUAAUUGAAAUUUACUUGUUUUUAUAUUCAGAAUUCCACGAACUAAUUUUAGGGUCUAAUCAUUCCUUUUUUCUAAUUCCAUUUUUUUGCAAUUCAACAGUUUUUUUUGGUUUAUUUUAUAUUGUAGGGUAAUGUUGUAUUUUAUUAAUUGUACCAGACCAGUGUACUGUACCAGUAAUUGACUUUGUGCAGGCCAGGAAGUAUUGUAAAUAUGAGUAACUGCAAAUGAUCAGUUCUUAUAAAGUAUGUUUAUAAGAACUGUUAAGUAUUGAAAUUUACUUGCUAAUAAUUUAAUAAAUUUACUGACAAUACUAAACACUUUAUUUAGAUGCUUCUACUUUAAAAAGAUCAGCAAUAUUUUUAGUGUCUUACUUUACAUGUAUAUUAUUUGAUAUUAUCUCACACCAACACUAAAGAUUCCUCACAAGCUGUACACUUUGGAAAUUCCAUAUUAACUUGUAAUAUCCGCGUUGAUUCUAACAUUAGCCUGAACAUAUAAUCAAUGCCAAUCACGAACUCUUAUUUCACCUCCAAUCGAUUGGGAGAUGCUCAUAUUCAUAUGCAUCUUAUUUGGCAUUCAAAACCAUAAUUCAUUAUGAUAAUUGCUUAUGACUCCAAUUGAAGAAUGCUAAAUUAUUUUAUUAUACAAUCGGUAAGGCACAAGCUUGUAUUGCCAAGUGCAAAGGGUUCUUAAUCACAGUUGACCAACGCUUCUCAACGUAAAUCGAUCGAAAUGUGCCGCCUAAUUCAAGUUGUGUUGAUGCUUGUUGUGAUCGCUUUGGCUUUGGUCACUACCUUUGGAGCGCCGGCUCCAUUGCCUCGUCCGAAUCCUCAAUGGGUUGUAAAUCCUUAUGCGUAUGCUUCCUAUCCAUAUUAUUACAGUAGCUACUAUUAUGCAGCUCCUGCUUAUGGCUAUGCAGUUUUAGGCUGACAUCGAAAUAAUUUAUAAACGCCUAUUUAAUCACCUAUUACAGAUCGGAAAAAACCAAAUGUAUUCGUUUUAGUAGAUAUCUAUUAAAUAAACACUGUAGAAAUAAAAGUUAAUUUUGUUAGAAAUCAUUUACCAUCUUUGCAUUAUUAUUACAAGCAAGCUGUAAAAUCAUGAUAUUUAAAUAUCAAUCUCUGUUACUACUUGAUUUUGACUAAACGACAUCAUGCAACUUUCUGAUUAAAUCACACAAAGUACACGAUAAGGAUUAUCUGUUAUUUAAUAAAUAACGAAACAUAUUUGUAA